ACAUCCCCCAGAUAGGAGUUGGGGGUUGAGAAACUAAUUCAAGAUGCUGGAAAUGCACCCGAUGGAGGGAAUACUUAAGGGUGCAGGUGUGAGCCCUGCAGAGGUGUUGAACAGCCGCCCCCUGGUGUUGGACUUGGGCACUGACGGCACUCUUCCCCCAGUCUGCGGGAUGAUGGGUUCUUGAAGACUCUCACAUCAGGAAACAACAUCAGGAAGCUCUACGUCAGAUGCAGCGACGAACACCCUUGUCUGUAAAGCACCUCUCUGCGAAACCUUUCCAGUUCCAUGCUUUGGGCAUCUGGCAGUGCCUCCAUGUAGUCCCCGAUGAAGCUGAUGCCAUAGCCUUUGGUGUUGUAGCUCCGUGUGUGCGCUCCUACCCA